AUCCUUUUGUAGUUCGUAACUGUGAAUGACUGAGUGUUCAUACUGUUGUGACACGUACCUCCCUUAAACUCUGUUACAACCUUAGCACACAACCUGUUUGACA